rnacentral:lncRNA from 1 species
AACAUCCCUUUCAGGAUGAUGCUGACUUCUUGUCCCAGAAAGAAGCUGCAACCAUGAGUGUCACAGAAGAAUAGGGGAAGCUCCAGGCUUGCCUUCUUCUGGUUCCUGGAUGUCCCCCUCUUCCUUGUAUAAUGACAAGGGGUCAAAGGAUGCUAGAAACAAGAAGACUCAAGACCUCUUGGUGUAGUGAUUUAACAAGCAUAUUGGCUUAGGCAAGCCACUGCGGAGAGACAGAUAUCUCGACUGCAAACUUCUUCCAGAUACUGCAUCUUGGUCAAAUCUUUGGCCUUAUCUUGAAGCAGCCCUCAGAUAUUUGAGCUCAACUGAUCUGAAAAAUUAUCUGAACCUGGAGGACAAAGCUGUGGACCCACAGAGGAGUUUAGCUAUAUCUGCAACUUUUCAGGCAAUAGCUAUUUUCGCUUUUGCAAUUUUUCUUCCUUUUACCAAAAACUGAGUGAGAUUUGCCAGCUGUUUUUAGCAACAGCAGCUCAGAGACUGGUUCAUACCACUCGGCGAUCUGUGUUGGGAGCUUUCUGGUGGAUGCUGCCUGGCAGG